UUAAAGGGUACCUAGCGGUAAAUCAAGUCCAAUAAGGAUACUAAUUUGACUAGAGUUUAAUGUGAGGGGGCACUAAAGUACUGAUAAGUGUAGAGAUGAAAUUCUGUGAUACAAUAUACGGCACUGGUAAAGGCGAAAGCAUCCCCUUAUGUAAUAACUGACGUUGAGGGACGAAGGCUAUGUAUAGCAAAAGGAUUAGAUACCCAAGUAGUCUUAGCAGAAAAUUAUGAGUGCCAUAGGAUGGUAAGAGUACUUUGUAUAUGGAGGAUAAGAGAUACAAAGGAAUUUUUUUCGUAUAAAUGAAAGUGUAAGCAUUCCACCUCAAGAGUAAUAUGGCAACAUUGGAACUGAAAUCAUUAGACCGUUUCUGAAACAAGUAGUGAAGUAUGUUGUUUAAUUAGAUGGUCCGCAAAAAACCUUACACAAUUUGAAUAGAAAAAUUUUUUUCG
rnacentral:rRNA from 1 species